AUUCGUUCCAUACAUGAAAAUUCCUGCGGAUAGGGAGGGAGAGAGAGUCAAUCAAAGUAACUUGGGGAAAGCAGUGCUUAGUUCUUGGUUUCUGUGCAUGUUCAGACUUUUCAAAUCAGGAACAUUCCACUUCUGGGGAGGAGGCACAUGUUAAGCAGUUAGGAGGCACACUUGUUGAGCAGCUGACAACAGAACAGAAUAUCCACACUGCCACUCCAUGCUGUUGGAGAGGUCCCAUCUGCAUAUAUACCGGACCAAUUGCCUUCCAGCACACCUUGGUCAUCAGGAGAGUUGAUCUGGUACCAAGAAUAAAGUGGAGGGUAACACCCAAAUCUUGCCUUCAUAUACACUCAGGAAUUGGUACUGGACCAUCAUUGAAUCUACAAUUUUGCUAAAUUCAAGAAAGAAGAUUCCGAGUUCGAACCUCAUGGCCAAAGGGGGCCUUUCUGUGUGGAGUUUGCAUGUUCUCCCUGUGUCUGUGUGGGUUUUCUCCAGGUGCUCCGGUUUCCCCCACGGUCCAAAGACAUGCAGGUUAGGUUAAUUGGAUACUCUAAAUUGCCCAUAGGUGUGAAUGGUUGAGAGGAGAAAACUUCUGUAAUAAUCCAGUAUCUAUAAUAAUCCUAGAAACUUUGAUGGCUGGAGCUGUCAAAAUGGCCACAUAUGCCAGAGAUUUAUAAUAUGGAACACUUUAAUGUAUGUAAUAUUAUUCUCCAACAUCACAAAAUUGCCUACACUAAAUUGCCAAUAAGUGUGCAUGGUGCCCUGUGAUGGACUGGUGUCCCAUCCAGUGUAUAUUUCCACUUCCUGUGCAGUGUUCCUGGAAUAAAGUCCGUAUUCACCAUGACUCUGACCAGGAUAAACCGCUUACUGAAAGUGAGUGAGCACCUCUGGCAGAAUUACAGCUGCAAAUCAUGGGUUUAUAUUCAUGUAUUCAAUUUAAUAUGCUAAUUCAUACAAACCUGUAUGGCGAAUGUUGCACGUUAUCUAAAACUAAUAAAUGGAAGGAGGGAAGGAGUCUCCAGUGUCAGUGCAUUCAGAAAGUCUUUAAGACAGAGGAGUGAGAAGAAAAGAGAGACUGGUGAGGGAACUUCUGUAAUGUAAUUGAAAACAGGAACAAAGUUGUUUCAUGGAGGUUACACAAUAUAAAAUGUAAUUAUAAAUGGAUCAAAAGUGUAUGUUCUUUAAUAAGUAAAAUAAGGUAAUCAUUGGCAAAUUACUGUAGGAGAAGAGGAAUAAAACACUUUGGGACAUGUUAUUAUAGGAAAAACUGUAACUCUGCUUCAUCACAUCAAACCAUCAGUGAUGAUUUUCCUAUUACAGCAUUGCAUGCAGCGUGUUAUUCUGUAUAUAUAAUAUAAUCAGAAAGCACAGGGGGUGGCACGGUGGUGUAGUGGUUAGCGCUGUCGCCUCACAGCAAGAAGGUCCGAGUUCGAGCCCCGUGGCCGGCAAGGGCCUUUCUCUGUGGAGUUUGCAUGUUCUCCCCGUGUCCGCGUGGGUUUCCUCCGGGUGCUCCGGUUUC